GCUCUGUUGUUAGGGAAGAACAAGUGCCGUUCAAAUAGGGCGGCACCUUGACGGUACCUAACCAGAAAGCCACGGCUAACUACGUGCCAGCAGCCGCGGUAAUACGUAGGGGGCAAGCGUUGUCCGGAAUUAUUGGGCGUAAAGGGCUCGCAGGCGGUUUCUUAAGUCUGAUGUGAAAGCCCCCGGCUCAACCGGGGAGGGUCAUUGGAAACUGGGGAACUUGAGUGCAGAAGAGGAGAGUGGAAUUCCACGUGUAGCGGUGAAAUGCGUAGAGAUGUGGAGGAACACCAGUGGCGAAGGCG
rnacentral:rRNA from 1 species